UGAUAUUCGCGCUCUGUCCAAGUCUCGUCGUCUCCAAAAAAAAUCAGAAUUCCUUGCAAAAAUCUUUACAUUUCUCGAGCAUUCGUGCAAAAAGACCAUCAAGAAUGUUAUGGAAAACAUUCUCACUCGAGCUUUAUGACGCUGAGGAAAGCAGGGUUGACACUAAUCCGGCUUAGUGCUCCCAUUUUUUAAGUUGCUAAUUAAGAAGAUCUUAAGUUACGAUUGGUAAAUAUUGUCGUAGAAGCUUCUUCUCAGACAAUUCCUGCAAGCUUGCGAAGAAAGCUGUUUCUGCAAAAUGCAAGAGCGUCGGCGUUGCCAAAACACGAUACAAGCGGAAACACUCAUCGCUAUUCUAUUGCAAGGAGUUCUAUUUAUUCGAUCAGGUGCUGUAUAUACGGAAUACCAAUUCCGUUAAUUGCGUCCGUAGACUAUGUCGCGCUCUAUAUAUACCUGGCACAUACUCAAUAUACUAUUUCAUUCGCACGGACAGUAUGUUGACGAAUGACAAAUACGUUUCGGUCGAAAGAGAGUGAGAUUGACGUGAGAUUAAAUGCUUUCAAGUAUUACUUCAUGCAGCCGAAAUAGUUAAUCGUGAAAAUAAGAAGAGUGUUCUCUGAAUUAAGAGCAGUUACUUUCGAGAAGAAGCGCAAGGAGAACAAACUUUUAAUCGCGAAAUAAACGAUUAAUGACUUGGGCAAGUUAUUCUCUUUGGAUUGAUCUUUUUGCGGCAAAGAACAUGCGCUGCAGCGAUAAUAAUUUAUUGUUUUAAGCUGCUUACUUAGACUUUGCUAUCUCGGAAGGGUUAAACUGAUGAUGGUAUGACGGCUACAUAAUAUGAAUAAUAGAAUGUGUAGA